rnacentral:rRNA from 1 species
GAUGAACGCUGGCGGCAUGCCUAACACAUGCAAGUCUACUGUGCAUAUAGCAAUAUAAGUAUGGUGGCGGACGGGUGAGUAACACGUAAAUAACCUGCCCCUUAGACAGGGAUAACUUUUCGAAAGAAGGGCUAAUACCUGAUGGACUUAUUAGAGGAAGAUAUAAUAAGUAAAGAGAAUUCGCUAAGGGAGGGGUUUGCGGACCAUUAGCUAGUUGGUGAGGGUAAGAGCCCACCAAGGCAACGAUGGAUAGCCGGCCUAAGAGGGUGUACGGCCACAAGGGAACUGAGAAACGGUCCUUACUCCUACGGGAGGCAGCAGUGGGGAAUCUUGCGCAAUGGGCGGAAGCCUGACGCAGCAAUGCCGCGUGAAUGAAGAAGGCC